UGGUGCCAGCAGCCGCGGUAAUUCCAGCUCCAAUAGCGUAUAUUAAACUUGUUGCAGUUAAAAAGCUCGUAGUUGAAUUUCUGCUGUUUCGUUGACUGCGUUUGGCGUUUGUCAUCGUUGCGGCUUGGUUGGGUUUCGAUUAUUCGUUUCCCGGUGUUUACUUUGAGAAAAUUAAAGUGCUUGAAGCAGGCUUUUGCCUUGAAUACUUUAGCAUGGAAUAACGGAGUAGGACUUUGGUUCUAUUUUGUUGGUUUUAGGAGCCAGAGUAAUGGUUAAUAGGAACAGUUGGGGGCAUUCGUAUUUGACUGUCAGAGGUG
rnacentral:rRNA from 1 species